rnacentral:tRNA from 2 species
CGGGCUGUGGCGCAGCUUGGUUAGCGUGCUUGACUGGGGGUCAAGAGGUCCCGGGUUCAAAUCCCGGCAGCCCGACCA